GCAAAGUUUCAGUGCAUUCCGUUGAUGUAGACAACGUGAAAACGGAAACAAGUAUGCCGGCUCACUGUGCUGCAUACAGUUACACACUACGUCGUACGAUUGAGACAAGGAAACUUGGAAUGACUUUUCACAGGUUUCCCAGAGACUAUGGGUUGAGGAGGAAUUGGAAGUUUGUCGGCUUAGACCUGGUGUCAUUCCAUCAGUGUUAAACUUCCCGGCUCAUCUUGGAAGAGUAUGUGCCAGAAAGACCACGACCAAGCAGCCUUGAGAUCUUAGACAGCGUCUCCCUGAGGUCCCUCUCUAUCUCCCCACACAUCCACCAACCACUGGAACACAUCUCCAAAGUUCUGCCGGGCCAGCUCAGCUUCCCCUCAGAAGAAGUGCCGCCACCUGCCAGAUGAAGGAGCCUUUUGAGAGGCAGCUGACAUCGUAAUUGGACUGUGCUUUGGUCUGUUCCAAUCCAGCUUCAGCUCCAGAGACGGCAGGCGGGACGAGUCAACGGAGGCCGGGUGGACGAAGGCAUGAAGCUGAGUACAAUCCAGAAAACAACAGAGGAGGAGUGCAGCGGCUCAGGGCCAGAACAGAGUAGCAUCGUAUGUCUCUUAGAAAACAUCAUAGUAUAGCCUUUUCUAUGAAAAAACGCCAUCAUAUGCAUCGUAUAUUGUACAAAUAAGUCAAAGGAAAGAGACAUACAUUGUAGAAUUGUAGUAAUUGUGGGCUGACUGAUUUACUGAUU
ensembl:lncRNA